rnacentral:rRNA from 1 species
GACGAACGCUGGCGGCGUGCCUAAUACAUGCAAGUAGAACGCUGAAGAGAGGAGCUUGCUCUUCUUGGAUGAGUUGCGAACGGGUGAGUAACGCGUAGGUAACCUGCCUGGUAGCGGGGGAUAACUAUUGGAAACGAUAGCUAAUACCGCAUAAAAUGGAUUAUCGCAUGAUAAUCCAUUGAAAGGUGCAAAUGCAUCACUACCAGAUGGACCUGCGUUGUAUUAGCUAGUUGGUGGGGCAACGGCUCACCAAGGCGACGAUACAUAGCCGACCUGAGAGGGUGAUCGGCCACACUGGGACUGAGACACGGCCCAGACUCCUACGGGAGGCAGCAGUAGGGAAUCUUCGGCAAUGGACGGAAGUCUGACCGAGCAACGCCGCGUGAGUGAAGAAGGUUUUCGGAUCGUAAAGCUCUGUUGUAAGAGAAGAACGAGUGUGAGAGUGGAAAGUUCACACUGUGACGGUAUCUUACCAGAAAGGGACGGCUAACUACGUG